UCCAGAAAAAUUAUAUUCAGGGACUCUCAACUCCUGGACGAUUCAACAGGAUUGGAAUUGCUACACAAUUUUUACUGACCUUCUAGGCUGUGUUCUGGAACCCACAUUCUUGACAAUGCAUUUCCAAGUUAACCAUGAUAAACAUACAGCCCUUCAAACUUUAGUUGUGACCAAAAAAUAUGUGGGGAGCAGCUGGUGGUUGUUCAUCUCUCUGGCAUAAUUGACAAUGAAUAUUUGAAAAAGUGCAAUGCAGCAAACUGUAAAGUCUUGGGUAUUGAUACAGAUGAACCUGCAAUGCAGAUAGAUAGAAUGGUUUUCAGUGGAAGUUACAAUGAAUCUAUUGGCACAAACAUUAUUUUUGAAGAAAACUGUGAAAUGGUGCAUGGUGAGACUGAAAAGAAUUCAAAAUACAUGUGUCAUACCACCAAAAACCUUGACAUGAUUCGAGUGUUUUUGAAGAAUACCCAAAAUGAAAAAAAUUCUGAAUUGGGAGAAGAAUCUGGAGAAAUAAAAGCCACACAUGGCACAGAGGAGGAAAGAACUCAGGACAUGAUAGGAUCACAAGAACAUAGCUCGAUUUUGGAGUGAUCCUCAUAUAUGUCAAUAAGAAAUCAACUAGUACUUGUGAAUACAUGGAUUUUAGCGGAUCACUAGUGGUACAUCAGUAUAUACCCAGGUGUGUGGCAGCGUGACCAGAUCUGAUAAAUUUUAUAACCAUAUACGGUUGGCCGGGUUGGAUGCACAAAUUUAUACUGGGAAGGGAAAGCCUAACUAGAUUUGAGCAGCUAUAUUGUUUUAAAAUUAUUCAUAUAUGGUCACACUGCUAUGUGGACACGAGGUUUGAGUUGGCUGAGUAAAUAUGGAUGAAAUCACAUGCAUGUUGAAUAUUGCCCAGUGAAAUGAGAUGCACGCUGCAUGCGUGCACUAGAAAAGUAUACUAGUUAAUACUGAAAAGUAGUUACAUAUAGUUAUGUUGCUAAACACAUCUCUGAAAACUUCAAUUCCUAAGUUGUCCAAACCAUAGUUGUGUUGUAGAAUUUACAUUUUGGGAGCAA
rnacentral:misc_RNA from 1 species